rnacentral:rRNA from 1 species
CUACAGGCUUAACACAUGCAAGUCGAGGGGAAACGACAUCGAAAGCUUGCUUUUGAUGGGCGUCGACCGGCGCACGGGUGAGUAACGCGUAUCCAACCUGCCCAUCACUUGGGGAUAACCUUGCGAAAGUAAGACUAAUACCCAAUGACGUCUCUAGAAGACAUCUGAAAGGGAUUAAAGAUUUAUCGGUGAUGGAUGGGGAUGCGUCUGAUUAGCUUGUUGGCGGGGUAACGGCCCACCAAGGCGACGAUCAGUAGGGGUUCUGAGAGGAAGGUCCCCCACAUUGGAACUGAGACACGGUCCAAACUCCUACGGGAGGCAGCAGUGAGGAAUAUUGGUCAAUGGGCGAGAGCCUGAACCAGCCAAGUAGCGUGCAGGAUGACGGCCCUAUGGGUUGUAAACUGCUUUUAUAAGGGAAUAAAGUGAGUCUCGUGAGACUUUUUGCAUGUACCUUAUGAAUAAGGACCGGCUAAUUCCGUGCCAGCAGCCGCGGUAAUACGGAAGGUCCGGGCGUUAUCCGGAUUUAUUGGGUUUAAAGGGAGCGUAGGCCGGAGAUUAAGCGUGUUGUGAAAUGUAGACGCUCAACGUCUGCACUGCAGCGCGAACUGGUUUCCUUGAGUACGCACAAAGUGGGCGGAAUUCGUGGUGUAGCGGUGAAAUGCUUAGAUAUCACGAAGAACUCCGAUUGCGAAGGCAGCUCACUGGAGCGCAACUGACGCUGAAGCUCGAAAGUGCGGGUAUCGAACAGGAUUAGAUACCCUGGUAGUCCGCACGGUAAACGAUGGAUGCCCGCUGUUGGUCUGAAUAGGUCAGCGGCCAAGCGAAAGCAUUAAGCAUCCCACCUGGGGAGUACGCCGGCAACGGUGAAACUCAAAGGAAUUGACGGGGGCCCGCACAAGCGGAGGAACAUGUGGUUUAAUUCGAUGAUACGCGAGGAACCUUACCCGGGCUUGAAUUGCAGAGGAAGGAUUUGGAGACAAUGACGCCCUUCGGGGCCUCUGUGAAGGUGCUGCAUGGUUGUCGUCAGCUCGUGCCGUGAGGUGUCGGCUUAAGUGCCAUAACGAGCGCAACCCCUCUCCUUAGUUGCCAUCAGGUCAAGCUGGGCACUCUGGGGACACUGCCACCGUAAGGUGUGAGGAAGGUGGGGAUGA